rnacentral:rRNA from 1 species
UACGGAGGCCCCAAGCGUUGUUCGGAUUUAUUGGGCGUAAAGGGUGCGUAGGUGGCAUUGUAAGUCUGGUGUGAAAGGCGUGGGCUCAACCCGCGGACUGCAUUGGAUACUGCGAUGCUAGAGGACUGGAGAGGAGAAUGGAAUUCACGGUGGAGCAGUGAAAUGCGUAGACAUCGUGAGGAAGGCCAGUGGCGAAGGCGAUUCUCUGGACAGUACCUGACGCUGAGGCACGAAGGCGGGGGGAGCGAACAGG